rnacentral:rRNA from 1 species
UUUUUUGAUUGAUCCUGGCUCAGAUUGAACGCUGGCGGCAUGCCUUACACAUGCAAGUCGAACGGCAGCACGGGAGCAAUCCUGGUGGCGAGUGGCGAACGGGUGAGUAAUACAUCGGAACGUGUCCUGUAGUGGGGGAUAGCCCGGCGAAAGCCGGAUUAAUACCGCAUACGCUCUACGGAGGAAAGGGGGGGAUCUUAGGACCUCUCGCUACAGGGGCGGCCGAUGGCAGAUUAGCUAGUUGGUGGGGUAAAGGCCUACCAAGGCGACGAUCUGUAGCUGGUCUGAGAGGACGACCAGCCACACUGGGACUGAGACACGGCCCAGACUCCUACGGGAGGCAGCAGUGGGGAAUUUUGGACAAUGGGCGCAAGCCUGAUCCAGCAAUGCCGCGUGUGUGAAGAAGGCCUUCGGGUUGUAAAGCACUUUUGUCCGGAAAGAAAACCUCUGGGUUAAUACCCCGGGGGGAUGACGGUACCGGAAGAAUAAGCACCGGCUA